rnacentral:rRNA from 1 species
ACGGAGGGUGCAAGCGUUAUCCGGAUUCACUGGGUUUAAAGGGUGCGUAGGCGGGCAUGUAAGUCCGUGGUGAAAUCUCCGAGCUUAACUCGGAAACUGCCAUGGAUACUAUGUGUCUUGAAUGUUGUGGAGGUGAGCGGAAUAUGUCAUGUAGCGGUGAAAUGCUUAGAUAUGACAUAGAACACCAAUUGCGAAGGCAGCUCACUACACAAAUAUUGACGCUGAGGCACGAAAGCGUGGGGAUCAAACAGGA